ensembl:lncRNA
GUUAAAGUGUUGGGCCAGUAACCAGCAGGGUGCCUAGUGGUUAGAGCGUUGGGCCAGUAACCAGCAGGGUGCCUAGUGGUUAAAGUGUUGGGCCAGUAACCAGCAGGGUGCCUAGUGGUUAGAGCGUUGGGCCAGUAACCAGCAGGUAGCCUAGUGGUUAGAGCGUUGGGUCAGUAACCAGGAGGAAGCCUAGUGGUUAGAGCGUUGGGCCAGUAACCAGCAGGUAGCCUAGUGGUUAGAGUGUUGGGCCAGUAACUGAAAGGUUGCUACAUCGAAUCCCUGAGCUGACAAGGUAUAAAUAUGUUGUUCUGCCCCUGAACAAUGCAGUUAACCCACUGUUCCUAAGCCAUCAUUGUAAAUAAGAAUUUGUUCUUAACUGACUUGCCUAGUAAAAUAAUUGGAAGUGUUGUGCCUG